AACAACAUCUUUAACAAGUCAGUAAGUACAACCACAAGUGUUUUACAGUCAACAACUAAGAAAGAGCAUUGCUUAGUAUUUAUUAGUUUUGAACCAUUAAUUGAAUAAACUGACUGAUAAAGAACAAUUUAUAUGGUGAUUGGAACUUAUAUUUAAAGAUGAUGACAUCUGGUUAUGUUUAUAUUCAUAUAUAUUUAUUUGCAUUCCAUAAUGUUACAAUAGAUGUUGAAGAGGCUUAAAACUAAGUAGGUACCAUUAUAGGCCCUGUUAGGGCACAGCUAAAGAAGGCAAUACUUUAAGGCACCAUAAAUAAAGAACCAUGAGUUAAACUAGGCUCAGGGGUACUUUGUUGUCACUUUGUUUGUAUUAAAAUUGUUUCUACGGCACCACCUUCAAUUCUGCUUUCGUAUCCCUCAUCAGGGAUAUAGUUCUGAAGGAGCAGAAAGCUUUUCCACUCACGCUUUACAACUUGUAGAGUUAUAAUUUGAUUAAAUGGUAUUAACUAAAAAGAAAAGCUUAAAUUGAGAAAAGUAGUGAUUUUAAUGAAUUGCUAAUUAAUAAAACAAUACCAGACGAAGAAAAUUGAAUGAAUAAAUUAAAGAUUUGUACAAUUUUUACCUUGAUUAUCUGUUAUUAAUUCUUACGAGCCUCUGUAUUGAGAUGUGAAAUGAAUUGAAAGAUUCAUACUAAUUCAGUUUGGUUGUAUUGUUGAAUUAUUGAAAUAAGACUACAUAAAUAAACUUUUGAUAAGUUCAUAGGUUGGAAGGUAUGCACUAUGUACUGUUUUAGCUGGUUCUAUUGUUUGUUGCUGAAAACAAACGACUCGAGGAAGAAAAUGGAUAUUAUGUAUUUAUAUAUUUUAACCACUACAAUAAGGGAUUAACAGAAACAAUUGUAAUGUUGUAACAAUUGUAACUUGUAGUGGUCUGAUUGAGUUUGAUUGUGUUGUUAAAUAAUAAUAAUAGAAGACAUGUAUUGAUUUAGUUCAACCAUAGGCAUUGCUCUAAUACAAAUAAGAGAUGGACAGAGAAAAAUGUAAUUACUUGUACAUUUCUCAUUUUAUUAUGUUGUUAAUUAUUAAAAACUAGCGACUGGAAUGCUAAUAAAGAAUUGAGUAUUGAAUAGACAAGAUAUAUUGUACUAGUUGUGAGAUAACGAAUAUAAAUAAGAGAUGGGCAGAGAAACUGACUAAAGAAUUUGUAUUAGCUACUUUGAUCAUAUUGAUGAUUAAUGGAUACUAAACGAGAUAAAAUAUGUAUACAUAUAUAUUGUAGUCAGAGAUAGAAGAUGUAAUAAAUUGAGAGAUUUGUAUAUUGUUCAGUUUGAGGAUAUUGACAAUUACGAGUCAUUUAUGAUUCUGAAUUUAAUACACGGAAGGAAUUGUGUAAGGAGCCGCUUGUGAUAAUAUUAUUAAUCAAUAUUUAUAGAGAUCUUCAUUGACACAUACCUACUUAAAAAGCUGUGUAUAUUUCUCAUAGCUCUCAAUUCUUCGAAACUAAGUCCUUAAAAAAUUUAUUGUAUAUAUUGUGCCAAUAAAGUGUAAUUGUGAAGUAUAUAAAAUAAGACAGGAUAUUAAGCAAUUGUAUAUUGUAUUGAAGAUCAAUACAAGUGUAGUGACGCAGUUUAUGAAUCUAAGGCUGGAUAUUAAGAAAUUGUAUAUUGUAUUGUUAAUGUACAGUAGUCCAGGUACUGGAUAGAAAGAAGUUGUUUACUGUAAUGAGAAUUAUAUAAGCAGAAGCAAUGUGUAAAUACUGAUUUGCACUUUGAAUUAUGAUAGUGAUAAAUUUUAAUGUGUUAAUAAGGAACAUAAGUUCAGAGACUUUGUAUAAUAGAAGUUUUCUAUUGAAAUGAGAAAUGAUAUAAGUAUUUUGAUGCCAAUAUGGUGAUGUUGACUUGUACUGCUUGAAUUUGAAUGAGGUACACAAAUCCAGAGACUGGAUACAUAGGAUUCUUUAUUUAAUGAUUGAUGAUAUAAGUAUGUUGUCGUCGAUAUGUUCAUAUUGACUUGUAAUAUUGAAAUUUGAAUGUAUUGAUAAAGUAUGUGUAAGAUAAGAACCGAGACUGGAUAUAAGGAAUUGUUUAUUUGAUGGGGAACUAUAUAAAUGAAUUCAUGUCAAUAUGUUGAUUUUGACUUGUAUUGCUUGAAUUUGAAUGUAUUGGUAAGGUACCUACACAAGUCCGGAGACUGGAUAUAGAGAAUUGUUUAUUUAAUGGGGAAUGAUAAAAGUAUAUUGAUGUCAAAAUGUUGAUGUUGACUUGUAAUCGUUGAAUUUGAAUGUAUUUAUAAAGAAAUAAAUCCAGAGACUGGAUAUAAAACAUGUCGAUUAUUGAAAUAGGAAAUGACAUAAGUAUAUAGAUGCCAAUAUGUUGAUGUUGACUUGAAAUGGUUGAAUUUGAAUGUAUUUAUAAAGAAUAUAGAUCCAGAGACUGGAUAUAAAUAAAGUUGAUUAUUGAAAUAGGAUAUGAUAUAAGUAUAUAGACGCCAAUAUGUUGAUGUUUACUUGUAAUGGUUGAAUUUGAAUGUAUUUAUAAAGAAAUAAAUCCAAAGACUGGAUAUAAAACAAGUCGAUUAUUGAAAUAAGAAAUUAUAUAAGUAUAUAGAUAUCAAUAUGUUGAUGUUGGCUUGAAAUGGUUGAAUUGGAAUGUAUUUAUAAAGAAUAUAAAUCCAGAGACUGGAUAUAAAACAAGUCGAUUAUUUAAAUAGGAAAAUAUAUAAGUAUAUAGAUGCCAAUAUGUUGAUGUUGACUUGUCAUGGUUAAAUUUGAAUGUAUUGAUAAGGUACAUAAGUCGAGAGACUUGAUAGAAGGAUCUUGAUGUCAAUUUGUUAACAUGACUAGAAGGCGUAGAUAGCUCCAAAUAGGAGUGAAUUCCUCGUUGCAGUCACAGUGAUAGUAAGAUUAACUUACUCUGUUAAACUUGAAUGUUUUGAUAAAGUAUACAAGUCCAAAUACUAGACGUGAAGUUGUUUACCGUAGUAAGAAUUUGUACAAGUAUAUGGUUGCCAAUUUGUUAAAAUGGCAAUGUACACAAGUCACAGUUUGGAUUCAAAAUGAAAUGAAAUGAAAAUAUUCGCAGAAAUUGUUUAUCGUAGUGAGAGUUUAUGCAAUUAUAUUGUUGACGAUUUGUUAGCAUGGCUGGAAGGCGUGGAUGGCUCCAGUUGGAGUGAAGGCCACGAUGCAGUCCUAGUUAAAGAUACGACUCUGGAAGGUUGGCACGAUCGUGAAGCCUUGUUGGUGGACAUCCUCUUGGCUUUGCGGUGAGGGGUCAAAUGCAGAUGUCGUGAGUUGAGAUUGGCUGGAAGGCGUGGAUGGCUCCAGUUGGAGUGAAGGCCACGAUGCAGUCCGUCCUAGUUAAAGAUACGACUCUGGAAGGUUGGCACGAUCGUGAAGCCUUGUUGGUGGACAUCCUCUUGGCUUUGCGGUGAGGGGUCAAAUGCAGAUGUCGUGAGUUGAGAUUGGCUGGAAGGCGUGGAUGGCUCCAGUUGGAGUGAAGGCCACGAUGCAGUCCGUCCUAGUUAAAGAUACGACUCUGGAAGGUUGGCACGAUCGUGAAGCCUUGUUGGUGGACAUCCUCUUGGCUUUGCGGUGAGGGUCAAAUGCAGAUGUCGUGAGUUGAGAUUGGCUGGAAGGCGUGGAUGGCUCCAGUUGGAGUGAAGGCCACGAUGCAGUCCGUCCUAGUUAAAGAUAAGACUCUGGAAGGUUGGCACGAUCGUGAAGCCUUGUUGGUGGACAUCCUCUUGGCUUUGCGGUGAGGGUCAAAUGCAGAUGUCGUGAGUUGAGAUUGGCUGGAAGGCGUGGAUGGCUCCAGUUGGAGUGAAGGCCACGAUGCAGUCCGUCCUAGUUAAAGAUACGACUCUGGAAGGUUGGCACGAUCGUGAAGCCUUGUUGGUGGACAUCCUCUUGGCUUUGCGGUGAGGGGUCAAAUGCAGAUGUCGUGAGUUGAGAUUGGCUGGAAGGCGUGGAUGGCUCCAGUUGGAGUGAAGGCCACGAUGCAGUCCGUCCUAGUUAAAGAUACGACUCUGGAAGGUUGACACGAUCGUGAAGCCUUGUUGGUGGACAUCCUCUUGGCUUUGCGGUGAGGGGUCAAAUGCAGAUGUCGUGAGUUGAGAUUGGCUGGAAGGCGUGGAUGGCUCCAGUUGGAGUGAAGGCCACGAUGCAGUCCGUCCUAGUUAAAGAUACGACUCUGGAAGGUUGGCACGAUCGUGAAGCCUUGUUGGUGGACAUCCUCUUGGCUUUGCGGUGAGGGGUCAAAUGCAGAUGUCGUGAGUUUAGAUUGGCUGGAAGGCGUGGAUGGCUCCAGUAAGAGUGAAGGCCUCGAGGCAGUCCUAGGAACGCAGCUCUGUAAAGGUGGCACAGUCAUGAAUUCUUGCUGGCGAAUAACCUCUUGACUUUGACCUUUAACUUUGUACCAAGAUAUAAACCAAUUUGUAAAUGUGAACACCAUGUAGCAUUUUAAUUGUCACUUUACUCUCAUUUGUCUUUGCGAUUCUACAUGAUCUUCGCAUGCUUUUACUGUAUGUAUCAAUACAUACAAAUUGUAAUACUAUAUUAUUUUUAAAAAGAGUAACCAUGGAGUUUCUUGCCCGUUCUUCUCCAUAGGAAGCUACUUUUGGAAUGGGCAACUAGAAUCAAACUUAGUUAUAAUUUUGACGUCCAUAAGUGCUUGUAAAGGCCUAAAUGAAAUAAAUGAUUUGACUUUGAGAAGUUUGAGGACAAACUUAGUGGUCAGAAUGGCCGAAUGUUAGACUAAUAUUAUCCUGUGUUGUUCUGUAUGUUAUAUUCUCUUUUCAUACAUUAAGGAACUAUACUAUAUUUACCGAAGUAUACUAAAUCAUUUUAGUUUUAUACGGACAACACUAUCUCUACUGUGAGGACAACACUAAAAAGAGAUUUUGACAGACAGAGCGCGCGCUUUUUAGCAUGCGCUUCCUUCGUGGACUGAUAAACUAUGUUUUCUUACGAUUGAUAUUAAAUUGUGUCUUAAAAGUGAAUACAAGAAGUUAUUGUGAUA